rnacentral:rRNA from 1 species
AUACGGAGGGUGCAAGCGUUAUUCGGAAUCACUGGGCGUAAAGGACGCGUAGGCGGGUUGGCAAGUCAGAUGUGAAAUCCUACAGCUUAACUGUAGAACUGCAUUUGAAACUGCUAACCUAGAGUAUGAGAGGGGGAGAUGGAAUUAGUGGUGUAGGGGUAAAAUCCGUAGAUAUCACUAGGAAUACCGAAAGCGAAGGCGAUCUCCUGGAACAUAACUGACGCUAAGGCGUGAAAGCGUGGGGAGCAAACAGGAUUAGAUACCCUAGUAGUCC